AGGUAGGGAAUAACUAGGUUUCCCUGGUGGUUCAGAUGGAAAAGAACCUGCCUGCAAUGUGGGAGACCUAGGUUUGAUCCUUGGGUCGGGAAGAUCCCCUGGAGGAGGGCAUGGCAACCCACUCCAAUAUUCUUGGCUGGAGAAUUCCAUAGACAGAGGAGCCUGGCAGGCUAUAGUCCAUGAGGUCGCAAAAGAGUCAGACAUGAUUGAAGUGACUUAGCACCUAAACCUCCUGACUCAACAAGAUUAUGUCAAACUCAAGCUCAAAAAGUUGCCACCUCAUCAGCUCCUCCCUCCUUGUCAGCUGGGGAAGUUCCAAGGAUUUUAAGUUUCUUUCACCAUGGAGUAGAACUAAAUGAUGAAUCACCUACCCUUCUACUACAGGCAAUGACAAGCCUGAAUAUAACUUGUUUGCUGAGUUUUUCUUAUUUUCCAGGGUUUUGGUUGAAUCUAUAGGAAUAUCUUUAAAGAACUCUGUCCCAUCCAAUAGGAAUGAGAUCCUGAUGCUGGGAAAGACUGAGGGCAGGGAAGAAGAGUGCGACAGAGGAUGAGAUGGCUGGAUGGCAUCAUCGACUCAAUGGGCAUGUGUUUGAGCAAACUCUGGGAGAUGGUGAAGGACAGGGAAGCCUAGCAUACUGCAGUCCGUGGGGAUGCGAAGAGUCAGAUGUGACUGAGCAACUGAACAACAAAUAGAAAGGAGAGUUUAUUUAUGAUUUUAAAAUAAUGCUUAGUUUAUUCUCUAUACCUUGAAAGUUAGCAAGGAAGUUUGGUCAAUCAAGGCUAUGCUGCCUGCUUUUUUACAGAAGUCAAGCUUCUUCCGUUGGGCUCAACUGAUGUGAGAUUUCUGACUACUCAUCCUGGGCAAGGCUCAAGAUAAAACUAUAAAAACACCAUCCUCAGUAAACGGUUUGCUAAGCAAACGACAUUACAAACACACUUUCAAGGACUCAUGAAACCAACUUAAGAGAACAAGUUAUUUUUAAAGUUCUCCAGAGGGACACAAGCAAACCAAGUAUGAAUGCCUCUUCCCUAGCCGGUCUCUGUCUGAAAACAUAGUACAGGAACUAGGAGUUCAUUCUUGUUGUAGGUACUUGAAAAUAUUUUAAAAAA
ensembl:lncRNA